rnacentral:rRNA from 1 species
UAAGACCUCGCGUUAUUGGAGCGGCCGAUAUCUGAUUAGCUAGUUGGUGGGGUAAGAGCCUACCAAGGCGACGAUCAGUAGCUGGUCUGAGAGGACGACCAGCCACACUGGGACUGAGACACGGCCCAGACUCCUACGGGAGGCAGCAGUGGGGAAUUUUGGACAAUGGGCGAAAGCCUGAUCCAGCCAUGCCGCGUGAGUGAAGAAGGCCUUCGGGUUGUAAAGCUCUUUCGCAAGGAAAGAGAUCCUAUCCACUAAUACUGGGUGGGGAUGACGGUACCUUGAUAAGAAGCACCGGCUAACUACGUGCCAGCAGCCGCGGUAAUACGUAGGGUGCGAGCGUUAAUCGGAAUUACUGGCGUAAAGCGAGCGCAGGCGGUUUUGUAAGUCAGAUGUGAAAUCCCCGGGCUCAACCUGGGAACU